ACGGGAGGCAGCAGUGGGGAAUAUUGGGCAAUGGGCGAAAGCCUGACCCAGUAACGCCGCGUGAAGGAAGAAGGUCUUCGGAUUGUAAACUUCUUUUAUGAGGGACGAAGGACGUGACGGUACCUCAUGAAUAAGCCACGGCUAACUACGUGCCAGCAGCCGCGGUGAUACGUAGGUGGCAAGCGUUAUCCGGAUUUACUGGGUGUAAAGGGCGCGUAGGCGGGGAUGCAAGUCAGAUGUGAAAUCUAUGGGCUUAACCCAUAAACUGCAUUUGAAACUGUAUCUCUUGAGUGCUGGAGAGGUAGAUGGAAGUCCUAGUGUAGCGGUGAAAUGCGUAGAUAUUAGGAAGAACACCAGUGGCGAAGGCGAUCUACUGGACAGUAACUGACGCUGAGGCGCGAAAGCGUGGGGAGCAAACAGGAUUAGAUACCCUGGUA
rnacentral:rRNA from 1 species